UCAUGGAGAUGGCUCAGGAUGAACGCUUGCGGCAUGCUUUUCACAUGAAAGUAGGAUGGGAAGUGGUGUUUCCAGUGGCAGACGAGUGAGUAACGCGUAAGAACCUGCCUUUGGGAGGGGAACAACAGCAGGAAACGACUGCUAAUACUAAUACCUUGUACCUGAGGAGCAAAAGGAGGAAUCCAUCUGCCCGAGGAGGGGCUCGCGUCUAAUUAGCUAGUUGGUGAGGCAAUAGCUUACCAAGGCGAUGAUCAGUAGCUGGUUCGAGAGGAUGAUCAGCCACACUGGGACUGAGACAGGGCCCAGACUCCUAUGGGAGGCAGCAGUGGGGAAUUUUCCGCAAUGGGCGAAAGCCUGACGGAGCAAUGACGGUGAGGAAUAAGCAUCGGCUAACUCUGUGCCAGCACGGUAAUACAGAGGAUGCAGGCGUUACAUUAUUCCAAAUGAUUAGGCGUAAAGCGUCUGUAGGUGGCUUUUUAAGUCCGCCGUCAAAUCCCAGCAAGCCUGGACAGGCGGUGGAAACUACCAAGCUAGAGUACAAUAGGGGCAGAGGGAAUUUCCGGUGGAGCGGUGAAAUGUGUAGAGAUUGGAAAGAACACCAACGGUGAAAGCAGCUGGGCCAACACUGAGACUAAGAGAUGAAAGAAAGCUAGGGGGAGCGAAUAGGAUUAGAUACCCCAGUAGUCCUAGCCGUAAAUGAUGGAUACUAGGCGCUGUAUCAACCCGUGCAGUGCUGUAGCUAACGAAGUAUCCCGGGAGUACGUUCGCAGGAAUGAAAAGAAAAGGAAUUGACGGGGGCCCACCAGUGGAGCAUUUUAAUUCGAUGCAAAGCGAAGAACCUUACUAGGGCUUGACAUGCCGCGAAUACUCUUGAAAGAGAGGGCUGCCUUCGGGAACGCAGACACAGGUGGUGCAUGGCUGUCGUCAGCUCGUGCCGUAAGGUGUUGGGUUAAGUCCCGCAACGAGCGCAACCCUCGUGUUUAGUUGCCAAGCGUUGAGGUUGGAACCUUGAGCAGACUGCCGGUGAUAAGCCGGAGGAAGGUGAGGAAUCAAGUCAUCAUGCCCCUGAUGCCCUGGGCGACACAUGUGCUACAAUGGCUGGGACAAAGGGUGAUAAGAUAAGGAACCACUACAAGGGGAGUAAGAUUCGGAUUACCUUGUUGAUCGAAUAUCUCAAGGCUAGAACAUUGUUUGAGAUUCGAAUCACUCCACAAGCAAGAUCGAUCAUGUCUAGCUUGAAUGAUUCUUGUUGAUCAAAUAUCUCAAACACUUGUUUGAGAUUCGAAUCACUCCACAAGCAAGAUUGAUCAUGUCGAGCUUGAAUGAUUCUACAUGCAACCUAAACUACAUAGAAUUGC
rnacentral:rRNA from 1 species